rnacentral:lncRNA from 1 species
CAGCCAGUCCCAGCCUCAGGGCCUGUGCACUUGCCCUUUCCUGGCCUAAAAUGUACACCACUCCCGAACCCCCAGUCACAUGUGACUGAGUCCCUCUGAUCUUUCUGCUACUGCCCAGAUUUCAUCUGCACAAGAGGUCUUUCCUGCUCACCUGAACAUUCACUCUUCCCCAUAGACACUCACUUUCCCUAAUUCUAUUCCUAGCACCUGUCACUAUUGGAAUUUUUCAUUUCUUUUUUGUUUAUUGUCUGUCUUCCCUACUUAGGAUCUACAUUCCAUGAGGGUAGGUGUGAUGGUUAAUACUGAGUGUCCACUUGAUUCGAUUGAAGGAUGUAAAGUAUUGAUCCUGGGUGUGUCUGUGAGGGUGUUGCCAAAGGAGAUUAGCAUUUGGGUCAGUGGGCUGGGACAGGCAGACCCACCCUUAAUCUGGGUGGGCACCAUCUAAUCAGCUCCUAGAAUACAAAGCAGGCAGAAAAACAUGAAAAGACUAGACUGGCUUAGCCUCCCAGCCUGCAUCUUUCUCCUGUGCUGGAUGCUUCCUGCCCUGGAACAUCGGACUCCAAGUUCUUCAGCUUUGGGACUCAGACUGGCUUCCUUGCUCCUCAGCUUACAGAUGGCCUAUUGUGGGACUUUGUGAUCGUGGUCUCAUUCUGUCAUCCAAGUUGUUGUGCAGUGACGUGAUCUCGGCUCAUUUCAGUCUUAACCUCCUGGACACAAGUGAUCCUCCAGCCUCAGCUCCCCUAAGUAGCUGGAACUAUUGGCACGCAUGCCACUACACCUGGCUAAUUUUUGUAUUUUUAGUAGAGAUGGGGUUUCAUCAUGUUGCCCAGGCUGGUCUUGAACUCUUGCUGGUCUUGAACUCCUGGAUUCAAGCAAUCCACCCACCUUGGUUUCCUAAAGUGUUGGGAUUAUAGGUGUGAGCCACCACGCCCGGCCGAUGCCAAGCUAAUUUUUAAACAUUUUUUGAUAGAAAUGAGGUCUCAUUUUGUUGCCCUUGCUUGUCUCAAACUCCUGGCCUCAGUCCUCCUGCCUCAGCCUCCCGCAACGCUGGGAUUAUGGGUCUGAGCCACUGCACCUGGCCUCUCCGUAUUUCUAUGAUUCUCAAUAUUCCCAUGGACGGCUGUGACCCAGUCAGUCUGCACUCUCAGGAGGACAUCUGCUCAGAUAAAAGCCCAGUUCAGGGGCUCUGUCUUCAGGAUCCCAAAGAAACUUGAGGCUUCUCCAUGAGGGGAAAAAGUAGUGGGCUGAGGUGAUUCUAGUUUAUCCUUCUAUAAAAAUCUUUACCCACAGAAUGGGACGCUGUGCAGUCAUUAACUAGAACGAUAAAUACUUACAUUCAGAAACAGAAAAGUGCCUGUAACGUUGUGCUGGCUUGUAAGAACAGAGAAUAGAGUUCAUGUAAAAUGAGAGACACACACAAAUACUUCUCUAGGCAUCUGUGCAUAUGUAUCUGCAAGAAUGUUCACUGAAAUGUCACCACCGGAAUCACAGAAUGUCUCCUUCAUUCUCAGUACUUUUACAAUUUAUACUAUCUGCUCAGAAGAUCUCCUUUAUAUAAAGAUAAACAAAAAGAAGAAAAGCCACACAAAAAAUGUGUGAGAAACAAACUAAAAAUCUCCAAACCCCAGUUCACCAAGAAAAAAAAAGUGACCCAAACUGUAAGCAAACUAACGGUCAGGGUUUUUAAACUCAGGCUCAGCUCUGAGAGGCAUGUUGUUAGGGGCGCAGUCUCGUGCCUCUGUUAAUUCCACAGCUCAUUUAGCGGCAAACUUGCCCGCAGUAUAUCUCCAUAGAAAUGGAACCCACAGGCACUGGCAACUGGAGGAUGUAAUUAUCGGAGGACAUGGCAAACUCUGGAGGCUGAGAGAAGGAGUUCUCACACCAACAAGAAAGGUGAGCCUGGGGUCUUCAAAGGCAGCACGCCCAGGGCCUGCCACGUGGCCUCCUAGCGGGCACACUUCAGGGCUGGGUGAGAAAUGCUUGGAAACCUGGGUGCUCCCUCCUGCGUAGCUUAUAAAAGCCACCCUAGGUCCUGCUCCUUAAGGAGAGGUGACGGGGACGGGGAAGAAGCCAGGCAGGGAGGGCAAGGGUUCAGACCAGGCCA